UUACUUAGUUGUUGGAGCUUAUUUUUUAAUUAUAUUACUGUAUCAUACAUAAAAAACUUAAUUGAAUAAUUUUGUAAUUUAAUAGGGCAUUUGAUGUUGAAAUGUUAUUUAUAGCUGAAAAGUUAAAUAUGUCUAUAUCAGAAAUAUCAGUUAACUGGACAGAAAUUGAAGGCUCAAAAAUUGUUCCUGUUUGGAGUUGGUUACAAAUGGGCUUUGAUGUAGUAUCUAUUUGGAUCAAAUAUCGUUUAGGUUUAUGGAAGAUUCAUUUUGAUAAAACUGAAUAAAUGUAGGUCAUUACUUUUAAAAACAACUUUUUUACUAUUUUAUGGUUGUUAUUAAUUUCAAAUUAUUCAAUGCAUAAAAUAGUUAACACACAUUGUGAUAUUAGUAUCUGUGAUACUGAUCAAUAAAACAUACAACUGUAUAUUAAUAAAUUUUAUAAAUUAUAUUACAUUAUUUUAUAUAAU